UAAAAGAUAGUAUCAAAAGAUUACAUUGUUUCCCCCAACAACAAUAGGGUUUAGUUCACCAUUGUCAUGGUGAAUCUAGAUGAAAAAUGGAUGAAGAAUGGAAAAGCAAACCCUAGAUAAGAAGAAAUGGAGCCUAAGCAUCCAAGAGAUCCUCUCCAGAGAGUGAAAUUAGGUCUGGCCACCCCCUUUUGUCAAAAGAAUGAGUCUAAACUCGCACUAGGGCUAUUUAUAACCAAGAAAAGUAACAAAAUUCAAGACUAGGCCCAUCAUAGAACCGCCCGGCGCCAACACUCUGGUCAACCGCCCAACACUCUGGUCAACUUUUUCUGGUUGACUGGUUGACUUUUUUGGUUGACUAGUUAACUUUUCUGCAUUCUGGUUGACUUUUCU
rnacentral:lncRNA from 1 species